rnacentral:rRNA from 1 species
AACGACGCUGGCGGCAGGCCUAACACAUGCAAGUCAAACGGCCCUUCGGGGCAGUGGCGCACGGGUGCGUAACGCGUGGGAAUGUACACCUUGGUAAGGAAUAACUGCUGGAAACGGUAGCUAAUACCUUAUAAUGACUCCGGUCCAAAGAUUUAUCGCCAAGGGAUCAGCCCGCGUCAGAUUAGAUAGUUGGUGGGGUAAUGGCCUACCAAGUCUACGAUCUGUAGGGGGUCUGAGAGGAUGAUCCCCCACACUGGUACUGAGACACGGACCAGACUCCUACGGGAGGCAGCAGUGAGGAAUAUUAGACAAUGGGCGAAAGCCUGAUCUAGCCAUGCCGCGUGAGUGAAGAAGGCCUUAGGGUUGUAAAGCUCUUUCAAUAGUGAAGAUAAUGACGGUAGCUAUAGAAGAAGCUCCGGCUAAAUUCGUGCCAGCAGCCGCGGUAAAGUCGUACGCU